GACGAACGCUGGCGGCGUGCUUAACACAUGCAAGUCGAACGGAAAGGCCCUGCUUUUGUGGGGUGCUCGAGUGGCGAAAGGGUGAGUAACACGUGAGUAACCUGCCCUUGACUUUGGGAUAACUUCAGGAAACUGGGGCUAAUACCGGAUAGGAGCUCCUGCUGCAUGGGGGGGGUGGGAAAGUUUCGGCGGUUGGGGAUGGACUCGCGGCUUAUCAGCUUGUUGGUGGGGUAGUGGCUUACCAAGGCUUUGACGGGUAGCCGGCCUGAGAGGGUGACCGGCCACAUUGGGACUGAGAUACGGCCCAGACUCCUACGGGAGGCAGCAGUGGGGAAUAUUGCACAAUGGGCGGAAGCCUGAUGCAGCAACGCCGCGUGCGGGAUGACGGCCUUCGGGUUGUAAACCGCUUUCGCCUGUGACGAAGCGUGAGUGACGGUAAUGGGUAAAGAAGCACCGGCUAACUACGUG
rnacentral:rRNA from 1 species